CUGCCCCUGGCCUCUCUUGAGAGAACAGAUCCAUCUUCAGGGACUUAACAAAAUGUAAGAGGCUACUCUGUGCCAGGUUUGGAAAUGAGAGCGGCAUGCCAACAGGGACACCUCACCAUGCAUGAGAAUGCAACCAACUCAUUUCCUGCAUACAAGAAGAAAGAAGAAAAGGGCCAAGUGCCUAGAAACAAGGACCCAUAUAUUUUCCUUCUCUCUUUUGAGACUAAAUACUACAUAACUUUAUAGCCGAUGACAAGCAAAGAUGCUGCCUUAAUCAGGGGACAUGGGGAGAGGGAGCAGUUUAUGAUUUAAAUGAAAAGGCUUUCCUGAUGACCAAAAGCAUUCCAGGAGGAGGAGCUCGCCAGCCACACUGUUUUGUUGCUAGGAAAAAGAACGCGUGUCUCAUAACCUGACCUUGCAUGACAUGUCUAAACAGACAGGUCUUCCAUUAAGAAGGUUUUGUUUUGUACUAUUUGGUACCUCUGCCUUCCCUGUACUUUCUCAGGUUGGGUCAAAAAAAAAAAAAAACUGUACCAAAAAAUGUACUUGAAACUAUUGAUUUCUGUUGUGCUAAAGCCCCUGACAUUCUGGCACGAUGAAGAUAUUGCUCUGGACCCUGUGAGCCUUCUCAUACUUCUCUUCUGCUUAUGAGGGUCUCUGAGGAUGGUAUUAAAGAUAUUGU